rnacentral:rRNA from 1 species
GUACACACCGCCCGUCGCUAUUACCGAUUGAGUGUUAAGGUGAACCUUCUCGAUAGAGCAWUCUAAAARUUAAGUAAACCYUGACACUUAGAGGAARUAAAAGUCGUAACAAGGUUUCCGUAGGUGAACCUGCAGAAGGAUCA